GCUCAACCUUCCUGUUCUACACCUGAGUUCAAGCUCUGGGGUCUUGACCCUCUUAAAAAAAGAAACACUCGAGCUGCAUGCCUUCGUCCACCAGGCCUCCGUUGACUCGUCCCGCCUGCCGUCUCUGGAGCUGAAGCUGGAUUGGAACAGACCAAAGUACAGUCCAAUCACGAUGCCAGCUGCCUCUCAAAAGGCUCCUUCAUCUGGCAGGUGGCAGCACUUCUUCUGAGGGGAAGCUGAGCUGGCCCGACAGAACUUUGGAGAUGUGUUCCAGUGGUUGGUGGAUGUGUG
ensembl:lncRNA